rnacentral:rRNA from 1 species
ACUGCUAUCGGAUUGGUACUAAGCCAUGUGAGUCAUUGUAGCAAUACAAGGCAGACGGCUCAGUAACACGUAGUCAAUCUAACCUAUGGACGGGGAUAACCUCGGGAAACUGAGGAUAAACCCCAAUAGAUCAUUAUGCCUGGAAUGGUUUAUGGUCUAAACGAUUCGUCGCCGUAGGAUGGGACUGCGGCCUAUCAGCUUGUUGGUGAGGUAAUGGCCCACCAAGGCUAUUACAGGUACGGGCUCUGAGAGGAGAAGCCCGGAGAUGGGUACUGAGACACGGACCCAGGCCCUAUGGGGCGCAGCAGGCGAGAAACCUUUGCAAUGUGCGCAAGCACGACAAGGUUAAUCCGAGUGUUUCCUGCUAAAGGAAUCUUUUGUUAGUUGUAAAAUCACUAUUGAAUAAGGGGUGGGCAAGUUCUGGUGUCAGCCGCCGCGGUAAAACCAGCACCUCAAGUGGUCAGGAGGAUUAUUGGGCCUAAAGCAUCCGUAGCCUGCUCUGUAAGUUUUCGGUUAAAUCCAUUUGCUCAACUAAUGGGCUGCCGAAAAAACUGCAGAGCUAGGGAGUGGGAGAGGUAGACGGUACUCGGUAGGAAGGGGUAAAAUCCUUUGAUCUAUUGAUGACCACCUGUGGCGAAGGCGGUCUACCAGAACACGUUCGACGGUGAGGGAUGAAAGCUGGGGGAGCAAACCGGAUUAGAUACCCGGGUAGUCCCAGCUGUAAACGAUGGAGACUCGGUGAUGCCCUGGCUUGUGGCCAGUGCAGUGCCGCAGGGAAGCCGUUAAGUUUGCCGCCUGGGAAGUACGUACGCAAGUAUGAAACUUAAAGGAAUUGGCGGGGGAGCACCACAAGGGGUGAAG